GAAAACCUUGAAUCAGAAUUUGGUGGAAAGUUACAUAUAGCAAUGGAUGAUAAUUAGUUCACAAAUUAUGAUGCAUUCAUUGAAAAUGAAUGGAAUCAAAGU